GAUGAACGCUGGCGGCGUGCCUAAUACAUGCAAGUCGAGCGAACAGACGAGGGGCUUGCUCCUCUGACGUUAGCGGCGGACGGGUGAGUAACACGUGGAUAACCUGCCUAUAAGACUGGGAUAACUUCGGGAAACCGGAGCUAAUACCGGAUAAUAUAUUGAACCGCAUGGUUCAAUAGUGAAAGACGGUUUUGCUGUCACUUAUAGAUGGAUCCGCGCCGCAUUAGCUAGUUGGUAAGGUAACGGCUUACCAAGGCGACGAUGCGUAGCCGACCUGAGAGGGUGAUCGGCCACACUGGAACUGAGACACGGUCCAGACUCCUACGGGAGGCAGCAGUAGGGAAUCUUCCGCAAUGGGCGAAAGCCUGACGGAGCAACGCCGCGUGAGUGAUGAAGGUCUUCGGAUCGUAAAACUCUGUUAUUAGGGAAGAACAAAUGUGUAAGUAACUAUGCACGUCUUGACGGUACCUAAUCAGAAAGCCACGGCUAACUACGUG
rnacentral:rRNA from 1 species